AUUGAACGCUGGCGGCAUGCCUUACACAUGCAAGUCGAACGGCAGCACGGGUGCUUGCACCUGGUGGCGAGUGGCGAACGGGUGAGUAAUACAUCGGAACAUGUCCUGUAGUGGGGGAUAGCCCGGCGAAAGCCGGAUUAAUACCGCAUACGAUCUACGGAUGAAAGCGGGGGACCUUCGGGCCUCGCGCUAUAGGGUUGGCCGAUGGCUGAUUAGCUAGUUGGUGGGGUAAAGGCCUACCAAGGCAACGAUCAGUAGCUGGUCUGAGAGGACGACCAGCCACACUGGGACUGAGACACGGCCCAGACUCCUACGGGAGGCAGCAGUGGGGAAUUUUGGACAAUGGGCGAAAGCCUGAUCCAGCAAUGCCGCGUGUGUGAAGAAGGCCUUCGGGUUGUAAAGCACUUUUGUCCGGAAAGAAAUCCUUGGCCCUAAUACGGUCGGGGGAUGACGGUACCGGAAGAAUAAGCACCGGCUAACUACGUG
rnacentral:rRNA from 1 species